rnacentral:lncRNA from 1 species
AUUCCUGGAAGGGUAAAAUAUUGUUGUCACCUUUCCCGCUUCUUGAUUUCCAGUGGGACUUUUCCACACAACCCCAAGGAUCCUACCAAGCCAGAACUUUAAUUCUCUCCAGAUCUCUGGUGCUGGCCCAGUACCUUUUAGACAGUACAUAUAACCAGUUUCUACGAAGCACAUUGGGGCUCAGUCCUGCAGCCUUUGCUUAUAUGAUGUGAGUAAUUCUUACCCAUACAAUAGCACCACUGACUUCAGUAGGUCUACUCACGUGAGUAGGGCUGGGCCUACAACCUUUACACAAAAC